AUACUUUCUGGCAGAAGAGACGCCAUGACCACGAAGGUAGUUUUCAUGGAUGAGGUUUAUCCAUUGCAUUCCAGGUGUGCUGACCCCUACACUUACCCCAAAUGCAGGAAACAAAACUGCCUAAUUUGUGGCAAUUAAGGACUGUGUCCAAGGCUUUCUUUAU
ensembl:snRNA U1 U1 spliceosomal RNA